rnacentral:rRNA from 1 species
GACUUAAGCAUAUCAAUAAGCGGAGGAAAAGAAACCAACCGGGAUUGCCCUAGUAACGGCGAGUGAAGCGGCAACAGCUCAAAUUUGAAAUCUGGCCCUAGUGGUCCGAGUUGUAAUUUGUAGAGGAUGCUUUUGGUGCGGUACCUUCCGAGUUCCCUGGAACGGGACGCCAUAGAGGGUGAGAGCCCCGUCUGGUCGGAAACCAAUCCUCUGUAAAGCUCCUUCGACGAGUCGAGUAGUUUGGGAAUGCUGCUCAAAAUGGGAGGUAUAUGUCUUCUAAAGCUAAAUAUUGGCCAGAGACCGAUAGCGCACAAGUAGAGUGAUCGAAAGAUGAAAAGCACUUUGAAAAGAGGGUUAAAUAGUACGUGAAAUUGUUGAAAGGGAAGCGUUUGUGACCAGACUUGGGCCCGGUUAAUCAUCCGGCGUUCUCGCCGGUGCACUUUGCCGGCCCAGGCCAGCAUCAGUUCGCUGCGGGGGAAAAAGGCUUCGGGAAUGUGGCUCCUCUGGAGUGUUAUAGCCCGCUGCGUAAUACCCUGUGGUGGACUGAGGUUCGCGCAUCUGCAAGGAUGCUGGCGUAAUGGUCAUCAACGACCCGUCUUGAAACACGGACCAAGGAGUCGUCUUCGUAUGCGAGUGUUCGGGUGUCAAACCCCUACGCGUAAUGAAAGUGAACGGAGGUGGGAGCCUCGGCGCACCAUCGACCGAUCCUGAUGUUUUCGGAUGGAUUUGAGUAAGAGCAUACGGGGCCGGACCCGAAAGAAGGUGAACUAUGCCUGUAUAGGGUGAAGCCAGAGGAAACUCUGGUGGAGGCUCGCAGCGGUUCUGACGUGCAAAUCGAUCGUCAAAUAUGGGCAUGGGGGGCGAAAGACUAAUCGAACCUUCUAGUAGCUGGUUUCCGCCGAAGUUUCCCCUCAGGAUA